rnacentral:rRNA from 1 species
UACGUAGGGUGCGAGCGUUAAUCGGAAUUACUGGGCGUAAAGCGUGCGCAGGCGGUUUUGCAAGCCGGAUGUGAAAUCCCCGGGCUUAACCUGGGAAUGGCAUUCGGGACUGCAAGGCUGGAGUGCGGCAGAGGAGACUGGAAUUCCUGGUGUAGCAGUGAAAUGCGCAGAUAUCAGGAGGAACACCAAUGGCGAAGGCAGCUCGCUGGAACGGUACUGACGCUGAGGCGCGAAAGCGUGGGGAGCGAACAGG